AAGUCGUAACAAGGUUUCCGUAGGUGAACCUGCGGAAGGAUCAUUAACACGUAUCCAAACGUUAAACCCCCCUGUGAACCUUCACCUGUACUCGUACGUCCGUUAGAAAAAGCAGCAAUCCCUGGUAAAUCAUCGCCGAACAGUUUUCGAUUCAGGGACGUCUGCAAGGAGCGUGCAUGUUGUGCGAAGCAAGUGGCCUGGCAUCCCCAAGCAGUUAGUGUCUGAAAGUGUCAUUAACUGUGUAAGGAUGACGCAGUCACGAUCGUUGGAGGCCCACACGGCCGACGACCGGGCCUCUGGGCGCAAGCCCCCCUAUAACAAACGCUGCUAAUCGCGGCCGCGAUAAUACGCAGUCGACCAAAAACCGAACAACUGUUAACAAUGGAUAUCUUGGUUCUC
rnacentral:misc_RNA from 1 species